GACUUCUCAUCGGGGAGCUUUGGCUGAGAUUAAUGAAGAUUGGAUAAUGUUCAUUUAAACCCGUAUCACCUGAACCAGAUAAUGCUGGCGUAGGAAUUGAGAUGACAUUCUCC
rnacentral:ncRNA from 2 species